rnacentral:misc_RNA from 1 species
ACGAGUUAGGGUCUCACCGGCCCGACCUCCCAACCCUUUGUCUACUUGACCAUCGUUGCUUCGGCGAGCCCGUCCUCACGGACCGCCGGGGGGGUUCUGAGCCCUCUGGCCCGCGCUCGUCGACAGCCCCUAAAAUUUAAAAUCUUCACUAAACGUGUCUUGAAUCUAAGUAUUAUUGUUAAAUAAAAACA